rnacentral:rRNA from 1 species
UAAAUUAAAACUUUCAACAACGGAUCUCUUGGCUCUGGCAUCGAUGAAGAACGCAGCGAAAUGCGAUAAGUAAUGUGAAUUGCAGAAUUCAGUGAAUCAUCGAAUCUUUGAACGCACAUUGCGCCCGCCAGUAUUCUGGCGGGCAUGCCUGUUCGAGCGUCAUUACAACCCUCAGGCCCCCGGGCCUGGCGUUGGGGAUCGGCGGAAGCCCCCUGCGGGCACAACGCCGUCCCCCAAAUACAGUGGCGGUCCCGCCGCAGCUUCCAUUGCGUAGUAGCUAACACCUCGCAACUGGAGAGCGGCGCGGCCACGCCGUAAAACACCCAACUUCUGAAUGUUGACCUCGAAUCAGGUAGGAAUACCCGCUGAACUUAAGCAUAUCAAUAAGCGGAGGAAAAGAAACCAACAGGGAUUGCCCCAGUAACGGCGAGUGAAGCGGCAACAGCUCAAAUUUGAAAUCUGGCUCUCGGGCCCGAGUUGUAAUUUGUAGAGGAUGCUUUUGGUGAGGUGCCUUCCGAGUUCCCUGGAACGGGACGCCAUAGAGGGUGAGAGCCCCGUCUGGUUGGACACCGAUCCUCUGUAAAGCUCCUUCGACGAGUCGAGUAGUUUGGGAAUGCUGCUCUAAAUGGGAGGUAUAUGUCUUCUAAAGCUAAAUACCGGCCAGAGACCGAUAGCGCACAAGUAGAGUGAUCGAAAGGUGAAAAGAACUUUGAAAAGAGAGUUAAAAAGUACGUGAAAUUGUUGAAAGGGAAGCGCUUGUGACCAGACUUGGGCUUGGUUGAUCAUCCGGGGUUCUCCCCGGUGCACUCUUCCGGCUCAGGCCAGCAUCAGUUCGCCCUGGGGGAUAAAGGCUUCGGGAAUGUGGCUCUCUCCGGGGAGUGUUA